GUUUAUGACUAACUGAGGCCUGA
rnacentral:miRNA from 1 species